rnacentral:rRNA from 1 species
GACGAACGCUGGCGGCGUGCUUAACACAUGCAAGUCGAACGGAAAGGCCCGGCUUUUGUGGGUUGCUCGAGUGGCGCACGGGUGAGUAACACGUGAGUAACCUGCCCUUGACUUUGGGAUAACUUCAGUAAACUGGGGCUCAUACCGGAUAUGACCUCCUGCUGCAUGGUGGGGGUUGUAAAGUUUCGGCGGUUGGGGAUGGACUCGCGGCUUAUCAGCUUGUUGGUGGGGUGGUGGCUUACCAAGGCUUUGACGGGUAGCCGGCCUGAGAGGGUGACCGGCCACAUUGGGACUGAGAUACGGCCCAGACUCCUACGGGAGGCAGCAGGGGGGAAUAUUGCACAAUGGGCGGAAGCCUGAUGCAGCAACGCCGCGUGCGGGAUGACGGCCGUCGGGUUGUAAACCGCUUUCGCCUGUGACGAAGCGUGAGUGACGGUAAUGGGUAAAGAAGCACCGGCUAACUACGUG